ensembl:snRNA U6 U6 spliceosomal RNA
UGCACUGGCUUCAGCAGCACAUUAAGAUUGGAACAAUACAGAGAACAUUAGCAUGGCCCCUGCACAAGGAUGACACACAACUUCAGGAAGUGUUACAUAUUUUU